rnacentral:rRNA from 1 species
AGAGUUUGAUCCUGGCUCAGGAUGAACGCUGGCGGCGUGCCUAACACAUGCAAGUCGAGCGAAGCAAUGUUAAGGAAGUUUACGGAUGGAAUUAAGAUUGACUGAGCGGCGGACGGGUGAGUAACGCGUGGGUAACCUGCCUCAUACAGGGGGAUAACAGUUAGAAAUGACUGCUAAUACCGCAUAAGCGCACAGGACCGCAUGGUCCGGUGUGAAAAACUCCGGUGGUAUGAGAUGGACCCGCGUCUGAUUAGUUAGUUGGCGGGGUAGCGGCCCACCAAGACGACGAUCAGUAGCCGACCUGAGAGGGUGACCGGCCACAUUGGGACUGAGACACGGCCCAAACUCCUACGGGAGGCAGCAGUGGGGAAUAUUGCACAAUGGGGGAAACCCUGAUGCAGCGACGCCGCGUGAGUGAAGAAGUAUUUCGGUAUGUAAAGCUCUAUCAGCAGGGAAGAAGUUGACGGUACCUGAGUAAGAAGCCCCGGCUAACUACGUG